GUGAGGGCAGAGCCGGGCCGGGCUGAGCCGGGACUGCCGGGGGGGCUGUGGGGGACGAGCGGGCUGAGCCGGGGCUCCCUCGGGCCGGGGGCUGAAGGGCUGUGUGUACAGGACGGGCUGUGUGUACAGGACGGGCUGUGUGUACAGCGAUGCUUCUGCGAGCCUCACGCGGUUGUAAUGGAGUGACACCGCGUCCCUCGGUGAGGUGAGGUGUGCGAGCAGCUCCGAGACACGAAAGGGAUUAGAAAGCCCAAGAACUGUCAGGAGGAGGGCGAUAUCCCGGUCUGAGGGUGUUUGGGGCACUGAGGAUUUUUAGUGCCAUUGAGACCCCGUUUCUGCCCUGACAUGGAUGAAGUUCAGGCGGCCUCCACGGACAUCACUGUUGCUAGGAAGACCUUCAGGAAAAUACCAAGUGUCCUUUUGGGCAGCCUCGUGGAGGAACCUAAAAAAAGACGUGCUGUCCCCAAUCACCUGCUGGAAUCAAAGAUUUAUUCAGCAUUUCAGAGGAGCAAGGUUGUACGGGCUGAGCCUGCUGUGCUACACUAUGGAGGGUAUGAAGUUGGAAAACAUCACCAACAGACACUGAAGCUGACAAAUAUUUCUGCCAAUGCAAUAAACCUUCACAUAAUACCACCCCAGACAAUGUAUUUUCAGAUCAAAUACAGCAAAGCACACCGGCUUGUCCCUGGUUUGUCAUAUGUGGUGACGGUUGAUUUUUGUCCUGAUGAGUGGCGAUAUUACUAUGACUGCAUCCGGAUUCACUGCAAGGGAGAUGAUAACUUGGUUGUUCCCAUGCAUGCUUAUCCUGCUAUGAAUGUUGUAGAAUUUCCAACGUUCAUAAAUCUGUCUGAUGUAUCAGUUGGUCAGAGUAAGGAGUAUGUUAUCCCGUUGCAGUGCAGCUGUCCAAUAGAUUUUGAAUUCCACAUUGAUAUUAUUCAGCCUCACAGAGCCUUCACUGUCCAGCCAACAUUUGGAAUCAUUCCAGGCAAUGAAAAAGUGAAAGUAACUGUGAAAUAUUCCCCACUUGAGUAUGGAACAGCACAAAUGGCAAUGCAGUUACGGAUUUCAGAGUUUCGCUCGAAACCCUAUGUGUGUGUAUUCACAGGAACAUCAACACCACAUCUGGGUCUGAUAAAAGAACAUUUUGACAAACAACAAAGUCGUCCAGCAAAAAAAGCUGGGUCUGCAGGAAAAUUCAUGGUGUGGAGAAGAGACCAAGUCAGCCAACCACGAUCGAAGCCUAUUCAAAAGGAAAUUGAAUACCAGAACCUCAGAUUCCCCACAGACUUGUCAAAUCCGUAUGCUGUAGCUACUGUUUUGAUACAGGAACCAGGCAAAUUGAAGAUUAAGGACUUAAAAGAAGUCCUUUCCCAAGGCAGAGAAGGGGUAAAAACCAGACAGAUGAAGGAAGCUGUAUUUCAAUUAAAAGUCAAACAAAAUGUUGAGGAAGAGGAAGCAAAUCAUCUAAAGUGGCAGGUUCAUAAGGGAGAAGAUCCAGUCUCUGAGGAAUUUAAAAAAGAGAUUAUUGAAAGACGACGAAGGGAAGAAGAGCAAUACAAGAUCCAAAGAGGAGACCCUAUCAUAGAACAGGAAUUUCAAAGGAAUGAAGUAGAAGUUUCCUUCAAACGUGUUACCCAGCAUGUUGGCCAGCAUCCAAGUGUCCAACCCACAUUUGACUUGCUCCGUAAUGACCCCUGGGACAACAGAAAGAGGAUGUUAAGGAAAUUCCAACAAGCAGCAUACAAGAUUUUGAUUCAGGCUCGGCUGAAUCGUUUAUUGCUUCUGUUCCGUGGACUGACCAGUGAGGCCAGAGGUCACGAGGAAGGGUCUGUGUCUGAAACCAGGAGUUUCAGCAAAUCAAAGAAGAGUGAAGAAUGUAAGGGCCUUUCUUCCAGCAUAUCUGAAGAUCUUAUAUUGCCUUUUGAAUUCCCCUUUUGCAGUUCCCAUGAACAAAAUGAUGAUUUGGCACCUGAUGCUCUUGGCCUAGUUCCUGUUGGAUCUGUGGAUGUGACAGUCAGACAUAUUCUUCCUUAUUAUGACUUGAAGGUUCCUCAGCAUUCCAACAUUAUGAAGUAUCAACCUUUCUGUACACACUAUGCAGCCACAAGUUACAAACCUCGAGAACCUUCCCGGCCACUGAGGCAGGGAGCCCAGGAUGAAUUGAUUCAAGUAGCUCCUUCUGCUGAGGGGCAGCUUGACCUGGUCUUCCAGAGGACAGACUUUCACAAACCAUCCCCAGGAGAGGAUUUUUACAAACCAUACUCAGAAGAGGAUUUUUACAAACCAUACUCAGAAGAGGAUUUUUACAAACCAUACUCAGAAGAGGAUUUUUACAAACCAUCCCCAGAAAAAGUAGCAGAAAGAGAUAUCAGCCUCUUAAAACUGGUUCCUCCCCGAGCUUUAGUCUACCCUGCAGAGAGCAACCCACUUCGCAUUUUUAACCCUGCUCCAGGAUUAGUUCCAUUUUUACUUCCAUUGCCCUAUUGUGAGUCAAAUAUUGAAUAUCAUCUUUGUCCUCAUCCAAAAUACACCUUUACCAAGGAAUGCCCCAAAGGAUCCAGUAUUCCGAUCACACAAAAGAAAUUUCUGCAUCACAAGGAAGUGAUUUCUGGAGUAAUGGAAUGGAGGAAAUUCUCACCAUUGGUGUAUUCCACUUUUUCUAACAUUCCCACAUUGACAAAUACAGCACCUAGGGAUCCUUACAGUUUAGAUAUGCUUCCAAGAGAUGUACCACCAGUGCUGUCUGACUUACCUGAGAGAGACAAGGAGAACGUGAUUGAUCAUGAGACAGAUGAGGCUGAGUUUGAAAUGAUUCUUACUCCAGAGAUGGUGAGGGCUGAAUUUCCACAGAUUGGUCAGGCACUCACAGAAGAAGACGAAGAGGAAUCAGCAAAAGAAGAAAGUAAUACAGUGCUGGAUGAUGCUUCUCUUGGAGACCUGCACAACUAUCCAGAUGGACAUUUUCAAACUCAAAACAAUGAGCUUGGAGAAAGGAUUCAAAAACAUGUGGAGACAAUGAAGCUGAAAGCUCUUAAUAAAACCCUUGUUCUGGGAUAAGAGUAAUUUUCCAAAGUCCAUGGCUUGGCACUGCUUAUCCUGUUUAUGUACAAGGCCUUCUAAAUCCCAGCUACAUUUACUUUCAUUCAGUGAGGUCAGCAACGUCUUGUGCCAAGAGAACUGCCAGUAAUGCCACCUCUGUCAAGGUCUCUCACUGUGCCCACUACACCAAACACAAUAAUUACUCCAGUGGGAAACCUCAGCCUUGUACCUGUUCAUUUUGUUCUGGUAUGAAGGACCAGAAAACCUCAGUACUACCACAUAAUUUUGGUAAUUAAUUUACAGCCCACUAUUUUCAAAUAAAAUGUGAAAAGACCUCAUGACCAAAUUCUUCUGAAUUUGUUUUUUUCAGUUAUGACCUGUCCUUGAAUUUUUGCAGAACAGUUUCCUGGUCAUCCCAAUGGAAAUUAUUCAUGCUCCUCCAUUCUCCAGUGGAAGACACCAGCCUUCAAAGAAAUGAACCUCCUUUCUAUUGAAGUGAUCCUCCUUUCUCUGCCUUAGCUCUUUAUGGGCCAGGUUUCAGUGUGUAGAGAAGUGCAUUACCUUGCACUAAAAUGUUCCUAGAAUUCAAAGGUGCUCUUGGUAAUGCACAGAUCCCUGUGCAUUAUAUCCUUCCAGGAUAUCUCAUAAUAAAAGGCUGGCUCUUCUGGAGGUAAUAAGCUCUCAGAGGCAAUCCAGCUGAGUCCAAGAACAUGAGAUUUGGCUAAAUAAUUUGAAGUCUUAGGUUUUCAUGAGACCUCUUAAGUCAACCCCUGGUUGACAACUGAACAGAUUCAGAAAUGGGACAUAAACCACAAGAAUUAAAACCUGCAAUUGGUGGUUUUUCACUGUUCGGUGUUACAGAAAAUAAAUCAGAAUAAAAAGAAAUGAUGUUAUGGAAAAUGUGCCUCUGGUAACAUUACCCAGUGGACCGGAACAUUUCUGAUAGUUAUUUUUAUCUGGAUUAUAAUUUAUAGUGUGCUGAACCAGGGCAUUAAUUUUGGAGAACGGUUUUAUGUAUAAAGGAUGUGUACAGUUUUCUCUGACAGACUUGUUAACAAACAGUUGCUUACAGGGCCUUCUAAAAGGAUCGUUUAGUAGGAUUCAAUACCAAUUGUGUGAAAUGUCAACAUUCAACAUCAGUGCUAUUUAAAAGAGCAUUAGUGCAAACUCUAGCCUUAGGCUAUGUUUUUAUAAACUGUGGAACAGUUUAUAAACAGUUUAUUAAGAUGUCUUUUAAUGAGCUUUCUUAUGCCUCUACUAAAGCUGCAGAUCACUUUCUUUUGAAUGUGCAGAUUUUCACAUACAGUUUGCAAACUAAGAUCAAUUAAUAUAUAUAUAUGUAGCCAAAUUUCACUACAUUCUAAUGUUAAUUUGUCGAUUACUUUAUUUUGGGAAUCAGAGGGCUGCAUUCUUACUGAUGUGAGUGGGAAGGUAAGAAUGUGUAAAUUGAUGUGCAGAAUGUGACAAGUUUAUUUCCAGUCACUGCAAGUAAAAUUGCUGCUGUUUCCCUUGUUUGGAAAGGAUUAAUUGGCUGAAUGACAUUGCAACUGUUUUACCAAUUAAGAUAUAUCCAUCUUGCCUGAAAAAGCCUGUCCUAUUAGCAAGGUUAAUAAACACUGACUCACUCUUUAGCUUUUCUCCCUUCUAUUACAUAAAUGAGCAUUAACCUCUAAAUCAAAUAAAAGGUCCAUUUUAAAAAUUAAGAAAAUGUUAAUGUGGAAAUGAUCUAUGAGUUUAAGUGCUCAGUAACUGGGUUGUUAAUCUCACUUACUGUUUCCUGAUGAGAGAAAAUCCAUCAGGAUCUUUAAAAUGUAAAUUAAUUGUAUUUUAUAAGAAGGCUGGGAGGAAAACAGCAGUGUGUUUGAUGUAAAGAAAUGGGUGAAAUUAUAUUUUCAGCUCAUAAGAAGAGUUCCAUGAGCCCCAGACUAAAGAAAUCUUGUUACCUUUGGAUUUGUAAUGCAAGGUUCAGUUAUUCCAAGCUCUGGUUGAAGAUUUUUGUCUGGGCAUUUAUUUGGUCUUUCUUCUGCACAGGUUUUCUUCUGUCUCUUCUCACGCUGAGUCCUUUGCCUUAUGGAAACACCAUGGAUGCUUCUCUCCAGGUGUUUCACCAUGGAGGAUUUUAGCUCUUGCUGAGGCCUCUCCUGCUCUUCCAGUUCAGUUGGAAAUAGCCAGCAGGUUUAGAAUUUAUUGCAUGAGAUAUAUGCAAAUGAUGUAAUUUCCUUAGAAAGCUGGAGAAUAGAAACUUCUGUGUGUGUGUGGAUAAAUUUCUUUGUAAAUGUGACUGUGAAGUGCUGCUCUGCAAUCUGUAAAUGCAUCAUUUGUAUGUUCCUGUAGAGACACAAACAGCUGAUGUGCUGAGGGCCUCUAUGA